rnacentral:siRNA from 1 species
CCUUUGCAUUGCAAGUGCCUUC